rnacentral:rRNA from 1 species
GACGAACGCUGGCGGCGUGCUUAACACAUGCAAGUCGAGCGGUAAGGCCCUUUCGGGGGUACGACGAGCGGCGAACGGGUGAGUAACACGUGGGUGACCUGCCCUCAGCUCUGGGAUAAGCCUGGGAAACCGGGUCUAAUACUGGAUAUGACUCCAUGACGCAUGUUGUGGGGUGGAAAGCCUUGUGCGGCUGAGGAUGGGCCCGCGGCCUAUCAGCUUGUUGGUGGGGUGAGGCCUACCAAGGCGACGACGGGUAGCCGGCCUGAGAGGGCGACCGGCCACACUGGGACUGAGACACGGCCCAGACUCCUACGGGAGGCAGCAGUGGGGAAUCUUGCGCAAUGGGCGAAAGCCUGACGCAGCGACGCCGCGUGAGGGAUGACGGCCUCGGUUGUAACGUACUUCUACGCUCCGACGAACGACGA